rnacentral:tRNA from 1 species
GGAGAGGUGGCUGAGUGGUCGAAAGCUCUGGUCUUGAAAACCAGCGUACCUUUACCGGUACCGUGGGUUCGAAUCCCACCCUCUCCGCCA